AGCGAACGCUGGCGGCAGGCCUAACACAUGCAAGUCGAGCGCCCAGCAAUGGGAGCGGCAGACGGGCGGGUAACGCGUGGGGAUCUGCCCAAUGGUACGGAAUAACCCAGGGAAACUUGGAUUAAUGCCGUAUGUGCCCUUCGGGGGAAAGCUUUAUCGCCAUUGGAUGAACGCGCGUCGGAUUAGCUAGUUGCUGUGGUAGAGGCGCACCAAGGCGACGAUCCGUAGCUGGACUGAGAGGGUGAUCAGCUACCCUGGGACUGGGAAACGGCCCAGACUCCUACGGGCGGCAGCAGUGGGGAAAAUUGGACAAUGGGCGCAAGCCUGAUCCAGCCACGCCGCGUGUGUGAUGAAGGCCUUAGGGUUGUAAAGCACUUUCGCCGGUGAAGAUAAUGACGGUAACCGGAGAAGAAGCCCCGGCUAACUUCGUGCCAGCCGCCGCUGUAACAC
rnacentral:rRNA from 1 species